rnacentral:rRNA from 1 species
AAUGAACGCUGGCGGCGCGCCUAAUACAUGCAAGUCGAGCGAGAAGACGUAGCAAUACGUUUGUAAAGCGGCGAACGGGUGAGGAAUACAUGGGUAACCUACCCUAGAGUGGGGAAUAACUAGCCGAAAGGUUAGCUAAUACCGCGUACGCUCCUUGGACUUCGGUUCAGGGAGGAAAGCGAUACCGAGGGUAUCGCGCUCUUGGAUGGGCUCAUGUCCUAUCAGCUUGUUGGNGAGGUAACGGCUCACCAAGGCUUCGACGGGUAGCUGGUCUGAGAGGACGAUCAGCCACACUGGCACUGCGACACGGGCCAGACUCCUACGGGAGGCAGCAGUAAGGAAUAUUGCGCAAUGGGCGAAAGCCUGACGCAGCGACGCCGCGUGGGGGAGUGAAGGGUC